GAUGAACGCUGGCGGCGUGCCUAAUACAUGCAAGUCGAGCGAACGGACGAGAAGCUUGCUUCUCUGAUGUUAGCGGCGGACGGGUGAGUAACACGUGGAUAACCUACCUAUAAGACUGGGAUAACUUCGGGAAACCGGAGCUAAUACCGGAUAAUAUUUUGAACCGCAUGGUUCAAAAGUGAAAGACGGUCUUGCUGUCACUUAUAGAUGGAUCCGCGCUGCAUUAGCUAGUUGGUAAGGUAACGGCUUACCAAGGCAACGAUGCAUAGCCGACCUGAGAGGGUGAUCGGCCACACUGGAACUGAGACACGGUCCAGACUCCUACGGGAGGCAGCAGUAGGGAAUCUUCCGCAAUGGGCGAAAGCCUGACGGAGCAACGCCGCGUGAGUGAUGAAGGUCUUCGGAUCGUAAAACUCUGUUAUUAGGGAAGAACAUAUGUGUAAGUAACUGUGCACAUCUUGACGGUACCUAAUCAGAAAGCCACGGCUAACUACGUGCCAGCAGCCGCGGUAAUACGUAGGUGGCAAGCGUUAUCCGGAAUUAUUGGGCGUAAAGCGCGCGUAGGCGGUUUUUUAAGUCUGAUGUGAAAGCCCACGGCUCAACCGUGGAGGGUCAUUGGAAACUGGAAAACUUGAGUGCAGAAGAGGAAAGUGGAAUUCCAUGUGUAGCGGUGAAAUGCGCAGAGAUAUGGAGGAACACCAGUGGCGAAGGCGACUUUCUGGUCUGUAACUGAUGCUGAUGUGCGAAAGCGUGGGGAUCAAACAGGAUUAGAUACCCUGGUAGUCCACGCCGUAAACGAUGAGUGCUAAGUGUUAGGGGGUUUCCGCCCCUUAGUGCUGCAGCUAACGCAUUAAGCACUCCGCCUGGGGAGUACGACCGCAAGGUUGAAACUCAAAGGAAUUGACGGGGACCCGCACAAGCGGUGGAGCAUGUGGUUUAAUUCGAAGCAACGCGAAGAACCUUACCAAAUCUUGACAUCCUUUGACAACUCUAGAGAUAGAGCCUCCCCCUUCGGGGGACAAAGUGACAGGUGGUGCAUGGUUGUCGUCAGCUCGUGUCGUGAGAUGUUGGGUUAAGUCCCGCAACGAGCGCAACCCUUAAGCUUAGUUGCCAUCAUUAAGUUGGGCACUCUAAGUUGACUGCCGGUGACAAACCGGAGGAAGGUGGGGAUGACGUCAAAUCAUCAUGCCCCUUAUGAUUUGGGCUACACACGUGCUACAAUGGACAAUACAAAGGGCAGCGAAACCGCGAGGUCAAGCAAAUCCCAUAAAGUUGUUCUCAGUUCGGAUUGUAGUCUGCAACUCGACUACAUGAAGCUGGAAUCGCUAGUAAUCGUAGAUCAGCAUGCUACGGUGAAUACGUUCCCGGGUCU
rnacentral:rRNA from 1 species